rnacentral:snRNA from 1 species
UUGCUUCAGCAACAAAUAUAAAAUUGGAAAGACACAGAGAAGAUUAGCAUGGCCCCUGUGCAAGGAUGUCACACAAAUUCAUGAAGCAUUCCAUAUUUUU